rnacentral:ncRNA from 1 species
GGGGUGAACUUAGAGCCCCCAAGUGUCGUGGUGUUAAUAGCUCUGCCCUUGGCCGAGCAGAGUGGUUAGUGAAUC